rnacentral:rRNA from 1 species
CUACUCUUGACAUCCUGCGAACUUGGUAGAGAUACCUUGGUGCCUUCGGGAACGCAGAGACAGGUGAUGCAUGGCUGUCGUCAGCUCGUGUUGUGAAAUGUUGGGUUAAGUCCCGUAACGAGCGCAACCCUUGUCCUUAGUUGCCAUCAUUUAGUUGGGGACUCUAAGGAGACUGCCGGUGACAAACCGGAGGAAGGCGGGGACGACGUCAAGUCAUCAUGGCCCUUACGAGUAGGGCUACACACGUGCUACAAUGGCAAGUACAGAGGGCCGCGAAGCCGCGAGGUGGAGCUAAUCUCAAAAAGUCGUCUCAGUUCGGAUUGUUCUCUGCAACUCGAGAGCAUGAAGUUGGAAUCGCUAGAAAUGGCAGAUCAGCAUGCUGCGGUGAAUACGUUCCCGGGUCUGUACACACCG